rnacentral:rRNA from 1 species
CUGAACCAGCAACUUGGAGGAAUGUAUAGCGAAAGCUAGCUGCACUUAACUUAGCUAGAGUUAGUGUAGUAUUGAUUAUGUCGAAUAAAGUUCUAGAUGGGUUUUGAUGAUGACAUUUCCCAUCUAUGUGUCUUGACCAAAUUACGUGCCAGCAGUCGCGGUAACACGUAAAAGACUAGUGUUAUUCAUCUUUAAUAGGUUUAAAGGGUACCUAGACGGUAAAUCAAGUCCAACAAGGAUACUAAUUUGACUAGAGUUUAAUAUGAGGGGGCACAAAAGUACUGAUAAGUGGAGAGAUGAAAUUCUGUGAUACAAUAUACGGCACUGGUAAAGGCGAAGGCAUCUCAUUAUGUAAUAACUGACGUUGAGGGACGAAGGCUAUGUGUAGCAAAAAGGAUUAGAUACCCAAGUAGUCUUAGCAGAAAAUUAUGAAUGUCAUAGGAUAGAAGAACAAAUUUUUUUCUAUAAAUGAAAGUGUAAGCAUUCCACCUCGAGAGUAAUAUGGCAACAUAGGAACUGAAAUCAUUAGACCGUUUCUGAAACAAGUAGUGAAGUAUGUUGUUUAAUUUGAUGGUCCGCAAAAAACCUUACCACAAUUUGAAUAGAAAAAAAUUUUUUUCAUACAAGCGCUGCACGGUUGUCUUCAGUUAAUGUCGUGAGAUCUUGGUUAGUUCCAUUAAAUUAACGUAAACCCUUACUUUAUUUUUAUAUAGAGUAGUUCACCGCUAGAUUGGAUAUGAUAACAGGGACUAAGACAAGUCAUCAUGGCCUUAAUAUUGUGGGCUAUAGACGUGCCACAUAUGCCUUAC